UGAUGAGAGGAAAGUGAGGCGUUGUUUUAUCACCAGCGAACACACACAUUAUUGUCAGGCUGUGUGUUAGUAGCACCGUGAUGAGAGGAAAGUGAGGCGUUGUUUUAUCACCAGCGAACACACACAUUAUUGUCAGGCUGUGUGUUAGUAGCACCGUGAUGAGAGGAAAGUGAGGCGUUGUUUUAUCACCAGCGAACACACACAUUAUUGUCAGGCUGUGUGUUAGUAGCACCGUGAUGAGAGGAAAGUGAGGCGUUGUUUUAUCACCAGCGAACACACACAUUAUUGUCAGGCUGUGUGUUAGUAGCACCGUGAUGAGAGGAAAGUGAGGCGUUGUUUUAUCACCAGCGAACACACACAUUAUUGUCAGGCUGUGUGUUAGUAGCACUGUGAUGAGGUGUUGUUUUAUCACCAGCGAACACACACAUUAUUGUCAGGCUGUGUGUUAGUAGCACCGUGAUGAGAGGAAAGUGAGGCGUUGUUUUAUCACCAGCGAACACACACAUUAUUGUCAGGCUGUGUGUUAGUAGCACCGUGAUGAGAGGAAAGUGAGGCGUUGUUUUAUCACCAGCGAACACACACAUUAUUGUCAGGCUGUGUGUUAGUAGCACCGUGAUGAGAGGAAAGUGAGGCGUUGUUUUAUCACCAGCGAACACACACAUUAUUGUCAGGCUGUGUGUUAGUAGCACCGUGAUGAGAGGAAAGUGAGGCGUUGUUUUAUCACCAGCGAACACACACAUUAUUGUCAGGCUGUGUGUUAGUAGCACCGUGAUGAGAGGAAAGUGAGGCGUUGUUUUAUCACCAGCGAACACACACAUUAUUGUCAGGCUGUGUGUUAGUAGCACUGUGAUGAGGUGUUGUUUUAUCACCAGCGAACACACACAUUAUUGUCAGGCUGUGUGUUAGUAGCACCGUGAUGAGGCGUAGUUUUAUCACCAGCGAACACACACAUUAUUGUCAGGCUGUGUGUUAGUAGCACUGUGAUGAGGUGUUGUUUUAUCACCAGCGAACACACACAUUAUUGUCAGGCUGUGUGUUAGUAGCACCGUGAUGAGAGGAAACUGAGGCGUUGUUUUAUCACCAGUGAACACACACCUUAUUGUCAGGCUGUGUGUUAGUAGCACCGUGAUGAGGCGUAGUUUUAUCACCAGCGAACACACACAUUAUUGUCAGGCUGUGUGUUAGUAGCUCUGUGAUGAGGUGUUGUUUUAUCACCAGCGAACACACACAUUAUUGUCAGGCUGUGUGUUAGUAGCACCGUGAUGAGAGGAAAGUGAGGCGUUGUUUUAUCACCAACGAACACACACACAUUAUUGUCAGGCUGUGUGUUAGCAGCACCGUGAUGAGGCGUAGUUUUAUCACCAGCGAACACACACAUUAUUGUCAGGCUGUGUGUUAGUAGCACCGUGAUGAGAGGAAAGUGAGGCGUUGUUUUAUCACCAGCGAACACACACAUUAUUGUCAGGCUGUGUGUUAGUAGCACCGUGAUGAGAGGAAAGUGAGGCGUUGUUUUAUCACCAGCGAACACACACAUUAUUGUCAGGCUGUGUGUUAGUAGCACCGUGAUGAGGCGUAGUUUUAUCACCAGCGAACACACACAUUAUUGUCAGGCUGUGUGUUAGUAGCACUGUGAUGAGGUGUUGUUUCAUCACCAGCGAACACACACAUUAUUGUCAGGCUGUGUGUUAGUAGCACCGUGAUGAGGCGUAGUUUUAUCACCAGCGAACACACACAUUAUUGUCAGGCUGUGUGUUAGUAGCACCGUGAUGAGGCGUAGUUUUAUCACCAGCGAACACACACAUUAUUGUCAGGCUGUGUGUUAGUAGCACUGUGAUGAGGUGUUGUUUCAUCACCAGCGAACA